rnacentral:rRNA from 1 species
CCUACGGGGAGCUGCAGUGGGGAAUAUUGGACAAUGGGCGAAAGCCUGAUCCAGCCAUGCCGCGUGUGUGAAGAAGGCCUUCGGGUUGUAAAGCACUUUCAGUGGGGAAGAAAGCCUUGGGGCUAAUACCCUCGAGGAAGGACAUCACCCACAGAAGAAGCACCGGCUAACUCCGUGCCAGCAGCCGCGGUAAUACGGAGGGUGCGAGCGUUAAUCGGAAUUACUGGGCGUAAAGCGCGCGUAGGCGGUCUGAUAAGCCGGGUGUGAAAGCCCCGGGCUCAACCUGGGAACGGCAUCCGGAACUGUCAGGCUAGAGUGCAGUAGAGGAAGGUAGAAUUCCCGGUGUAGCGGUGAAAUGCGUAGAUAUCGGGAGGAAUACCAGUGGCGAAGGCGGCCUUCUGGACUGACACUGACGCUGAGGUGCGAAAGCGUGGGUAGCAAACAGGAUUAGAUACCCUUGUAGUC